rnacentral:rRNA from 1 species
UACGUAGGGCGCAAGCGUUGUCCGGAAUUAUUGGGCGUAAAGAGCUCGUAGGCGGCCUGUUACGUCUGCUGUGAAAUCCCGGGGCUCAACCCCGGGCCUGCAGUGGAUACGGGCUGGCUAGAGGCAGGCAGGGGAGAACGGAAUUCCUGGUGUAGCGGUGAAAUGCGCAGAUAUCAGGAGGAACACCGGUGGCGAAGGCGGUUCUCUGGGCCUGUACUGACGCUGAGGAGCGAAAGCGUGGGGAGCGAACAGG